rnacentral:rRNA from 1 species
UUUAUGGAGAGUUUGAUCCUGGCUCAGGAUGAACGCUGGCGGCGUGCCUAAUACAUGCAAGUCGAGCGAACGGACGAGAAGCUUGCUUCUCUGAUGUUAGCGGCGGACGGGUGAGUAACACGUGGAUAACCUACCUAUAAGACUGGGAUAACUUCGGGAAACCGGAGCUAAUACCGGAUAAUAUUUUGAACCGCAUGGUUCAAAAGUGAAAGACGGUCUUGCUGUCACUUAUAGAUGGAUCCGCGCUGCAUUAGCUAGUUGGUAAGGUAACGGCUUACCAAGGCAACGAUGCAUAGCCGACCUGAGAGGGUGAUCGGCCACACUGGAACUGAGACACGGUCCAGACUCCUACGGGAGGCAGCAGUAGGGAAUCUUCCGCAAUGGGCGAAAGCCUGACGGAGCAACGCCGCGUGAGUGAUGAAGGUCUUCGGAUCGUAAAACUCUGUUAUUAGGGAAGAACAUAUGUGUAAGUAACUGUGCACAUCUUGACGGUACCUAAUCAGAAAGCCACGGCUAACUACGUGCCAGCAGCCGCGGUAAUACGUAGGUGGCAAGCGUUAUCCGGAAUUAUUGGGCGUAAAGCGCGCGUAGGCGGUUUUUUAAGUCUGAUGUGAAAGCCCACGGCUCAACCGUGGAGGGUCAUUGGAAACUGGAAAACUUGAGUGCAGAAGAGGAAAGUGGAAUUCCAUGUGUAGCGGUGAAAUGCGCAGAGAUAUGGAGGAACACCAGUGGCGAAGGCGACUUUCUGGUCUGUAACUGACGCUGAUGUGCGAAAGCGUGGGGAUCAAACAGGAUUAGAUACCCUGGUAGUCCACGCCGUAAACGAUGAGUGCUAAGUGUUAGGGGGUUUCCGCCCCUUAGUGCUGCAGCUAACGCAUUAAGCACUCCGCCUGGGGAGUACGACCGCAAGGUUGAAACUCAAAGGAAUUGACGGGGACCCGCACAAGCGGUGGAGCAUGUGGUUUAAUUCGAAGCAACGCGAAGAACCUUACCAAAUCUUGACAUC